AUGGCAGGAUGAAUCCUGACUGACCGACAGGGAGGCACAAAUGUCCCGAGGUUGGUGUCCGUCAGGAGACUCCAACCUCCAAGGCAGGUUUUAAAAAAACAACACUCCAUUUGCUUUUUAGUUAGUGGAGAUUCCUCCAAGAUUUUUGCAUUCAUUGUUCAUCAGCCUCAGUUUUCGGUGCUGUGGACUUCUGUCUCUGACUGUGCCAGGAGCUGUGCCUGCCCGCCACAGGCCUCCGUGGUCAGGUACCAUUCUACAUCCCCCCAGUGCUCAGCAGGUCUGCACGAGUCGGUUCGUCUUCUGAGUUUGCGUGUUAGAGACAGAAGCUCACUGAUUUCAAAGUCUGAAUCUUCCCCACCACCUGGCAUGCUAAGUCCCAGAACCAUUCAGAACGCAGCUGAACAGCCACAAUGGUGUGAGAUUGGUCUCUGGAGGUGGGGUCUGGGCCAGUGCCAUGGUGUGCCCGAUGGGGCUUGGACCCAAUGGCGCCCCAGCCCCACCCCUCGGGGUGCCACUGCCUGUGUUUCUUGCAGAUGUGAAAUUAUUGAGAACAGUGGCGCACAAUGAAACCAUCAGGAAAGCAGUCAGCGCGAACUGAGAGAACUGUUUACAAAGAGGAUUGUGCAGAAGGGAGCGGUCACAGUCGCCCAGGGUCCUCAGACUGGGUCUGGGUGAGUGUUGUCGGAGGGUGCCUGGGAGAGCAUGUCACUUGAUCUUGGAAUGUCACUGUUGUCUGUGGCCUCGACGUCUCUGGCUCCAGCCUCAUCUCUUGUAUAGGAACUUUGUCCCAGGCAUAAUUUCCCCUGUGUAUUUUAUUUCAGUUUUGUUUUUGGAGUUCCCCGGAGUGUCUCACCUGAGAUAACAGGUCUUCCAGGAAAGGCAUGUUGGCAACUCUCCUUCCCCACCUCCUCUGAUGCUGCGGCGUCAGCCCCGCAUUCAGGAGCACCCUCUGAUUAUUCUGGCCACUCCCAGACUCCUGCACCCUUCCCAGUCACACCUGCUCCCUAUCCUUGGUUCCACUGGACCUGCCAGGCACCUGCCCACUGAGCACUGCUGCAGGGCUGGCUGUGUCUGCUGAUACUGGGGCUCUCUGCUGUGAGAACAGGGCUGCUUGGGGACGACCUUGGGGCGGUGGCAUUCACCUAGACCUUACAGAGAGGUUAGCAGAAUCACUUUUUGUGAUCGUUGCUGAUAUUUUCUCUUCCCGCCACAGGACUUCUGUCUCGGUUGGUGAUCCUCUGUCCCUGGAGGUCAACUGAAGCAACAACAUCAUCUAAGGUGUCUGCCCGAGCUCCCUCUUCUCUUAGCAUGAUUCUCAUUCUCCCUCCGGAGGCUGCUCAGCCCCUCAUGCAGAUAGACUUAGGUAGGCCCAACCUGCCUGGUCAUUAACAUACCCAGGAGUGUCUAAAUCCCAGGGGCCAGAGUGGCUUCCACACACCCUGGCAACUGCAUUGUGUGCAUGCGAUGUCUGACCACGGGGUGGAUGUGAGUCAGGGCAUGGCCUGCCCUCCUCUGAGCCACGUGUCAUAUUCAAACCCAAGGUCGACUGGAGCUUCACAGAUCAUCG
rnacentral:lncRNA from 13 species